GUGAGCCAGCCAGGAGUGAAGACGACAGGUUUGCUGUCUCCUUUGCCUGUGGGUCUGGGGCCCCAGCCUGGGGGAGACCCGUGACUCCAGGCAUGCUAUCAGGACAACUUCAACCCGAGGGGAGAUCAGCUCUCCCGCAACCUGGUGCCGCUCUCUGACAGCACAACAGAACCUAAGGGGCUACAGGAUGAUUCAAGGAACAGUGUGCUACAGGACCUCGCAAGAAGACCCUCACCAGAUGCAGCCCCUCUAUGUUGGACUUCCCAGCCUCCGGAAGUUAGAAAUGUGCUACAACCACUCAAGGUCUGCAAACAGAUUCCUAUUUAGAUGUUGUUGAGAGCUGAAUUUCUGGAACAAGAGAUAUAGAUUAAGACUGUUGUUACAUGUUGCCUACAUGACUUUCAAAAGCUUGAUUCCCAGUGGCGCUCUCAACAGCAGUCAUAAACAAUGGUUUUGAUUGUUAUACAAAUGGUCUCCUGACCAUUUGUGUACACGUCACUUGCAAACAGACACACGUUUUUGAGAUAUGCACCUGAGAGUAAGAUUCCUCAAUUUUAAGCUUUACAAGAUAAUUCCAAUUUGUUUGCUAAGUUGUUUGUACAAGUUACAUUUUUAUGAAGAGUCUAUAGCAGUUUCCUUUAAUCUAUACGUGUCAAGGUGUGUACCUGACAUCUUAAAACUUAUAAUUUUUAUGGCUGACUUUUGAACAUGCUAAAAUAUUUCUUUGUAGAUUUGAUUUACAUUUCUCUAAUUAGUAGUAGUUCCAGCAUUAUUUCAGGUAUAUAUUGACACCUUUUUUUCCUAUUUUAUGUAACUCCUUUUCC
rnacentral:lncRNA from 1 species